GCCUCGGUGGCGUAGUGGCAGAGUACGCGUUUCCACAUAGAAUGAAACGCGGGUUCGAUUCCCAGCUGAGGUCA